ensembl:lncRNA
CUCCGCGGCGGGUCUCUCUGCGCAUGCUCCUUUCCCCCCCCCCCCCCCCACCCCACCCCUUUUUUCCCGGGCCCGGCCGGAUUUUAUGAAUGGGCCAUUGACGUCAUCGGAGACCCCCCACGUGGGGCCGCGCGCGUAUAAAGGGGGCGGAGCGGCGCUGUCCGCGGUGCUGAAGGGCGAAACGACGCCGCGACCACCGCGACCCCCCCCCGAAUUUCCCCUUCUCACCGCGACCCCUCCCUUCACCUCAACCCCUCCCCCCCCUCCCUUUCGCGACCCCCCCCUCCCCCCACCCUCCUCACCGGGAUCAACCCCCCCCCGCCCCCGCUUCGAGCCCCCUCCCCCACCCUUAUCAAGACCCCCCCCCUUAUUUUUGGCAUCCCCCCACACCGAGCGCCGCCCCCUCCCCAGGCUGGAAAAGGGGGGGGGGAUCCCCCGGAACAGCCGAGACCCCCCCGGAGCCGGCGCCAUGACGGCCCCACCGCGCCCAUUGCGCAGCGCCGCCCUCCUGCUCUCCAUCACCCUCCUGGUGCAGAGCCGCCCCCAACCCACCCCACAACCCCCCCGGAGCAGCCCCCAGACCCCUCCUCACCCCCUCUCCAAGCGCUCCCCACCACCACCACCACCACCAGCGGGAGGUCACCAUCAGUCGCAGGUGUUGAAGGAACUGGAAGAACUGGGGCGGCUCCGCGCCGAAGCCAAACGGGACCGGCAGCGGGACCGGGAGCGGGAGCGGGAGUCGGGCUGGGCCAGCUCGCGGCAGCUGCGGCAGCAGCAGAGUUUGGAGCACCGGCUGCUGGAGAGGCGCUACCAGGAACUGGCCGAGAGCCGGCGGCAGGCCCAGGCCGCGCGGAAAGCGGCGGCCGAAGAAGAGCGUUUGGCCGAUUUGGCGUCGGAUCUGCUGCUCCGGUACCUCCUGCGCGGCCCCGGCGCCGGCGUGGCAGAGGAUAAGCGAUCCGAGGAGGAGGAGGAGGAGGAGGAGGUGGAGGAAGGGUUCGGGGAGAACGGCAAGGAUGGGUUCGGUCUCGGUGGGGAGGUCAACGGUGAGAUCGGCGGCUACAAGGGGAAGGAGAGGUUUGGGAUCGGUGAUGAGAUCAGCGAUGAGCUCAACGAUGAACUCAACGAUGACCUUGGUGGCCACCAAACCUACAACAGCAAGGACCGGUUUGACCUUGGUAAUGACCUCAACGAUGACCUUGGUGGCCACCCAACCUACAAGACCAAGGACAGGUUCAACCUCGGUAAUGACCUUGGCAAUGACCUCAACGAUGACCUUGGUGGCCACCAGACCUACAAGACCAAGGACAGAUUCAACCUUGGCAAUGACCUCAACGAUGACCUCGGUGGCCACCAAACCUACAAGGCCAAGGACCGGUUCGGCCUCAGAAAUGACCUCAACGAUGACCUCGAUGGCUACAAGACCAAGGACAGAUUUGGCCUCAGAAAUGACCUCAACGAUGACCUCGAUGGCUACAAGGCCAAGGACAGAUUCGACCUCUCCAACGACCUCGCCGGCUACAAGGGCGGCUACGACGCCAACGACGCCAACGAGGUCUUCAAGGUCAACCGCCGCUUCAAGGUCAAACCCGGCACCAACGAAGACUUGAAGGCCAACGAUGGUGACAACUUCAAGAUCAGGGGCGGCUUCGACAACGCCGCCGACGACCUCAACGGCAACGGCGGCUUGGAGGACAACGAGAUCCUCCCGGCGCGCGGCCACCGGAUGCCGGCGCGGGGUAACCGGAUCGCGGCGGCGGAGGAGGAAGAAGAUGAAGAAGAAGAGGCGACCACCGGCGAUUCGGAGGAGGUGUCGCCGCAGGAUCCGGCCGAGGUGGACGAGCUGGACCCCGGCACCAUCGACCAGCUGAUCGAGCUGUCCAGCCGGCUGCACCUGCCGGCCGAUGACGUGGUGGACAUCAUCCACGACGUGGAGCAGAAGCGCAAGGAGGAGGCCGGGCUGGGCUUGGCCAUGGCCGGUAUGGGCGUGGUGGCCGUGGAGCCACCACCGAAACUCGGCCGACCCCCCAAAUCGCGGCUCCGACCCCCACCGGAGCCGAUCCCGGCGAGGACUUUCCUGCCGGUCCCACCCCGGCGCCCCCCGCCCCCGCUGAGGGACCGCCAGGUGGAGAAAUAUCUGGAGAGGGUUUUGGGGAGCCCCCCCCGGGGGUAG